GCCUCGGUAGCUCAGUCUGGGAGAGCGGUUCCCUUGUAAGGAACAGGUCGUGGGUUCAGAUCCCACCCGAGGCU
rnacentral:tRNA from 1 species